rnacentral:lncRNA from 13 species
GCAUUACAAAUUAAGUUGAUAUCUAAGUGAUAUCAGGUAGGAAAGGAAUCUGGCAUAUAUACGCAUAUACUGUGUGUGUGUGUGUGUGUGUGUGUGUGUGUGUGUAUUUUAACAGUCUCUCUCUCUCUGUCACCCAGGCUGGAGUACAGUGUUGUGAUCAUGGCUUACUACAACUUCCGCCUCCUGGGUUUAAGCCAUCCUCCCACUUCACCCUCCUGAGUAGCUUGGACUACAGGCAUGCACCACCAUGCUGGGACUGAAUUUAUCUUCAGCUGGAAAAAGAAAA